ACAAUUAAUAAUUUUAUAAAUAAUAAAAAUAAUUUUAAUAAUAAAAUUGGGGGGUUUUAGUAUUAAUAAAAAAAAAAUUAUAAAAUUUAUAGUGAAUUAGUAUUGUAAAAGAAUUUUUAAAUAAUUAUGAAAAAUAAAAUUUUUAAAAAGUAAAUUUAAUUUAUUGUAUCUUGUGUAUCAGAGUUUAUUAAUUAUUUUAAUAAAAUAUAUUAUUUCUCGAAUUUAAAAGAGAUAAUUAAUUAAUAAAGUUAUUAUUGCAUAAAUAUUUUUAAUAAUUAAUUGGAAAUGAAAUGUUAAUCGUUUUUAAAUAUAUCUAGUUUUUUUAGAAAAAAAUUUAAUUUUUUUUUUUUUUUAUAAAAAAUUAAUUAAUUAAUUUUUUAUAAAAAAAAUAAAAUAUUUUAAGGGAUAAGCUUUAAAUUAAAUUUUUAUAAAUUAAAUUAAUUUUAAUUAAAAUUUUUAAAAUUUAUAUUGUUUAUAAUUUUUAAUUUGUUAUAAAUUAAUUUUAAUUAAAUUAAAAUUUUUUAAUAAUUUAAUUUUUUAUAAAAAAAUAUUUUAUAAUUUAAUAAAAUUAAUUAUAAUGAUAAAAUUAGUAUUUAUUAAUAAAAUUAUGUUAUUUUUAUAUUUUUAUUUAAUUUAAAAGAAUUCGGCAAAAUUUUAUAUUCACUUGUUUAUCAAAAACAUGUCUUUUUGAAAAUAAUUUAAAGUCUAAUCUGCCCACUGAUAUAAUAUUAAAGGGCUGCAGUAUAUUGACUGUACAAAGGUAGCAUAAUCAAUAGUCUCUUAAUUGGUGACUUGUAUGAAAGAUUGGAUGAAAUAUAAACUGUUUCUAAUUUAUUUAAAGAAAUUAAUUUUUAAAUUAAAAAGUUUAAAUAAAAUUAAAAGACGAGAAGACCCUAUAGAGUUUAAUAAAAAUAUUUUUUAAAAUUUUUUAUUAAUUUAAAAAUUAAAAUAAAUUAAUUUAUUUUGUUGGGGUGAAUAAUUUAGUUAACAUAAAUAAAUGAAUUUUUGAUCCAAUUAUUUUGAUUAGAAGAAAAAAUUACCUUAGGGAUAACAGCGUAAUUUUUUUUUUUAGUUCAUAUAAGAAAAAAAGUUUGCGACCUCGAUGUUGGAUUAAGAUAAAAUUUAUAUGCAAAAGUUUAAAAUUUUGAUCUGUUCGAUCAUUAAAAUCUUACAUGAUCUGAGUUCAAACCGGUGUGAGCCAGGUUGGUUUCUAUCUUUAAUAAAAUAAAAUAUUUUAGUACGAAAGGAAUAAAUAUUUGAAUUAAAUUUAUUGUUAAGAAUUUU
rnacentral:rRNA from 1 species